GAUGAACGCUGGCGGCGUGCUUAACACAUGCAAGUCGAACGAUGAAGCCCAGCUUGCCGGGUGUACUAGUGUCGAACGGGUGUGUAACACGCGAGUAUCCUGCCCUUAACUCUGUGAUAUGCCUGCGAGACACGGGCUCAUACCGGGUAGAAGCGCCCCCCCCAUGUUGGGUGUUUGGAAGAUUUUUCGGUUUUGGAUGGACUCGCGGCCUAUCAGCUUGUUGGGGUGGUGAUGGCUCACCAAGGCGACGACGGGUAGCCGGCCUGAGAGGGUGACCGGCCACACUGGGACUGAGACACGGCCCAGACUCCUACGGGAGGCAGCAGUGGGGAAUAUUGCACAAUGGGCGCAAGCCUGAUGCAGCGACGCCGCGUGAGGGAUGACGGCCUUCGGGUUGUAAACCGCUUUCAGUAGGGAAGAAGCGAAAGUGACGGUACCUGCAGAAGAAGCACCGGCUAACUACGUG
rnacentral:rRNA from 1 species